rnacentral:rRNA from 1 species
GAUGAACGCUAGCGGCAGGCUUAAUACAUGCAAGUUGAGGGGCAGCAUGAUAUACGCGAGUAUAUUGAUGGCGACCGGCGGACGGGUGAGUAAUAGGUAGGAGACCUACCUCAUACAGGGGGAUAGCAUAGAGAAAUCUGUGGUAAUACCCCAUGAGGUUAUAUGAAUAGAGGCAUAUAAUCAAAGCAUAAGCGAUUAUGCGGUAUGAGAGGGGCCUACUGACCAUUAGCUAGUUGGUGAGGUAAGGGCUCACCAAGGCGAAGAUGGUUAGGGGUUUUGAGAGAGAGACCCCCCACAUUGGAGCUGAGGAGACGGUCCAGACUCCUACGGGAGGCAGCAGUAGGGAAUAUUGGGCAAUGGGCGAAAGCCUGACCCAGCCAUGCCGCGUGAAGGAAGACGGCCUUAUGGGUUGUAAACUUCUUUACUACGCGAAUAGAGGUUAGUACGAGAUACUAAUAGGAAGGUAGUGUAGUAAAAGACCCGGCUAACUCCGU